GAGGGUAUAGCUCAGUGAGAGCACAUGCCUAGCAUGCAUGAGGUCCUGGGUUCAAUCCCUAGUACUUCCA
rnacentral:tRNA from 1 species